rnacentral:tRNA from 1 species
AAAGCCUUCCGCCGGAAUCAGGCGAAGAUGCUAAUUUGGAGGUGUCCUCAGCAUCAGGCAA